rnacentral:ncRNA from 7 species
CAAUGUGAGAACUUUCUUUACUGGUAUCGAGGAAAGUCCGGACGUCACAGAGCAGUGUGCUUGUCAACGGCAAUCCGGGGAAACCCGCGGGACAGUGCCACAGAAAGUAGACCGCCACCCGCAAGGGAGGUAAGGGUGAAACGGUGCGGUAAGAGCGCACCAGCAUCCCGGGUGACCGGGAUGGCUAGUGUCCUGAG